GGGCGACCCGCCGCGCCGCACCCGCUGGGACAUGGCCGGCUCCCGGGUGACAGGGCGAGACUGGGGCUAGCUGUCGCCCGACCGCGGGGGAGCGUCCUCGGGCCGCAGAGAGACCCGGCGACGGGGCGACGAAACCGGACUCGCGGGCGCGGAGGAGCGGGCCUCGGCCUCAAAGCGCGGCGCUGCAUCCACCGCCGCCGCCGCUCUCAUCAACAAUAGUGUCCCCGCGCGGCCCCGCCCCCCGCACGCCCAUUGGCACGCGUCACCGCGCUCCAGCCGCGCCGCCGCGCCCAUUGGCUCCCAGCCCCGCCGGUCCCGCCCCCGGGCCUAGAGAGCCUAGGUGUGCGGAGCCUGUCCGCUCUUUAAAGGGAGAGCCCCGCCCCCGGGGAGCGGUGCGCGUGAGUGCGUGUGUGUGCGUGUGUGUGUGUGUGUGUGUGUGUGUGUGUGUGUGCUGCGCGCGGUGUGUGUACACGUGAGCACGCGCGAGUACGCGCCUGGCCACGCGUGGCGCUCCUUCCCCGCCCCGGAUCCCGGGCCCUGGAGCCUUGCCAGCGCCCUGUCCAGAACCAGCGUGGUCCCAGGCUGGGCCGAACCAACUGCAGAAGCGUGGACGCCGUCCCCUUCGGGCUCUUUCUAUUCAUCUUUUUGUUCUGUUCUAAUUCCAUCUACCUGUGGGCAGGGCUCAAAAGGAGAAUUUAAUUACUCUUACUGAUAUUUACACCCUUCUUUUGUUUUGUUUUGUUUUUUAAAGCUGUACAGAGAGCCAAACCUUGGGUUAAAAUUGCUGCUUGAAAUGCCCUUUUAUAUAGUCUCUAUCGAGUUCUGUCACCAGAUGCUCUCGCUACUCUCCUGUAUCUCAGGAUCUCCAGGAUCACCAUGCCUUCUGGCCAAGCCUCUGUCUUCUCUGGCCUGUACUCUGACCCGCACUGAGCCAGUCUCCCUAGAUCAUCUCUGCCCCAUCCCACUUUUCCAAGCUUCCCAUUCUCCACCCAUAAUCCAUUGGAAUCCGAGCAACUUGGAAGCUGAGCCAGGAGCAUCCCAAGUUCAAGGCCAACCUGGACAACUUGGUGGGACCCUGUUUCAAAAAAUUAAAAGGAAUGCAUGUAGCUCAGUGAUUGAAAAUCCAUAGGUUCAAUCCCUAAUACUUAAACACACACACACACACACACACACACAUACACACACACUCACACGGGGCUGGUGUUGUAGUUCAGUGGCAUAGACCUUGUUGAGCAUGUGUAAGGCUGAAGAUUCAAUCCCAGCACUGCCAAAUAAAUGCAAACACCUCCACUGCCUGAAGCUCCCCAUUUCUCUUAGGAUUAGGCUUCUUCAAUGCCAAGGCUCACCAUACCUCCAGAGGCCCCCUCCGCCUACUUCUUCUUUCCUGGGCUUCAGCCAUCCUGCUGUUCUUUAACUUCCCCCAAAUAACCCAUACACUCAUCCUGACUCUUGUCAGCUCCAGGUCAGUUUUUAGGUUGGAGAGGCCUGGGUUGUCUUGAUCUGCACUUAAAUUAGUAUCCCUGGGUUUACAGUAGCACUGUACUUUCCUGUCCUAGUCAUCACAUCACACAAUUAUUUGUUCAGUAUCUAUAGUUGUCAAUUUUAAGUGUGGUUGUUCACUCAAUAAAUAUUCCUGACAGCCUUUUAUGUUCAGGGCACUGCUAUGGCUCCACAGUGAUGAAUAAACCCUCCCACUCCUUAUCUAUCUCCUGCACUUAUCUCUCUCUGCUGGAGACAAAAGAGCGAGUAAACAAAAUAUGUGCAUGCACACACACAUGCAAGAGAAUCACCUGCUGAAGAGUUCUUUGGAGAAAACCACAGAGUGCCAUGAAAGAGAACGAAGAUCUAACCAAGCUGUUGGGAAGGCCUUUCUAAAGAGGAGACAGGGUGAGACCUAAAAGAAUGGGCCAUUGGGAAAAACAUUCCAACAAAUAGCUGUGUUAGAGCCCAAGGAGGAAGAGUGUCAGUACUUUAAGGAAUCAGACUAGGGCCAGGGUGAGCAACAGGAAGAGUAGUUGAGAGCUAGGUCUGCAAAGGUAGAGGUGACCUGAUACAGAGAACAAUGGAUUCAGAUUUUAUUCUGAGUACAUGGUUUAUUUGCACAAAACUGAUUCUAUUAAGUGUCUCGUUCAAAAGAAACAACAGACACCAAAAAUAGAAAUGAGAAACAAGCAAAUAUUUCCUGAAAUUUAUGGAAUAAGCGUGAAGGGGAAUUUCUUUGCAUGAGUCUCAAUAAACAUAGUAUUUAAAAUCUAAAUCUGUGUCUCCAAGUUCUGCUUAUUACAAGACUCCCAUCUGUCUUCUUUAUAAACACCCACCCCGAAGUACCUAAGCCAGACCUGGGCCUAGCCUGGCUUUUCUGUCUUUGGCUUCAUUUUCUUACCUCCUAGGGUCCAUUCUUGCUCCUUGAAUGACUCUGUGCCUUUGCUAAGACAGUGCGUGUCCAUCUGUCCUUUCUGGUCUCUCCAUUUCUACAUCUCUGCCAAUUAAUAAUCCCUGGAGAUCAGCACAACAGAAAUGCCAGAGCUCACAGGUGGAAUUUCUAUGCCGAACAGAAACACCAAA
ensembl:lincRNA